rnacentral:tRNA from 3 species
GGGGCCGUAGUUCAGCUGGUUAGAACGCCGGCCUGUCACGCCGGAAGUCGCGAGUUCGAUCCUCGUCGGCCCCGCCA